rnacentral:rRNA from 1 species
AUUGAACGCUGGCGGAAUGCUUUACACAUGCAAGUCGAACGGCAGCACGGGGGCAACCCUGGUGGCGAGUGGCGAACGGGUGAGUAAUACAUCGGAACGUGCCCAGUCGUGGGGGAUAACGUAGCGAAAGUUACGCUAAUACCGCAUACGAUCUACGGAUGAAAGCGGGGGACCGUAAGGCCUCGCGCGAUUGGAGCGGCCGAUGUCAGAUUAGGUAGUUGGUGAGGUAAAGGCUCACCAAGCCGACGACCUGUAGCUGGUCUGAGAGGACGACCAGCCACACUGGGACUGAGACACGGCCCAGACUCCUACGGGAGGCAGCAGUGGGGAAUUUUGGACAAUGGGCGCAAGCCUGAUCCGGCCAUUCCGCGUGCAGGACGAAGGCCUUCGGGUUGUAAACUGCUUUUGUACGGAACGAAAAGGCUCUGGUUAAUACCUGGGGCUCAUGACGGUACCGUAAGAAUAAGCACCGGCUAACUACGUGCCAGCCGCCGCGGUAA